rnacentral:lncRNA from 1 species
GGACAUGGUAACAAGUUUUGGAGAAACUUGAGAGGGACCUGCCAUGGAAAUUAACAGGAGAGACCCUAGCCACAAAGAAAGAAUAGAAAAUUCUUCCCUGGGCUGGUGACAGCCCCUUAACUCAUUUGCGUUUUCUUCUCAGAAGCGUGACAGAAAAAGCCUACGGAUGGGAAAAGGAGAUGCAAGGAUUGAUGUUCAAAUAUCGUGAAAAUGGACCAGAUCCUCAGCUGGCAUAAAUCAAGGCAGGCCCACAGGAAUCAAUGCAGCAAUGCCAAUUUACACCAGAUGAAGACCUGGCUCAAUAAAUCUAUCACUCUCUUGAAAAAAGGAGGGAUGGAUGUGCAAAAUGCUUCACUGGAAGCAAAAGCCUGCUCCCGGGGACUCCUUGCAUACCUUGCUCCUGUUCCUGUGAAGGAGAUGAUGCCCAAAGUAUAAACUCCAGUGCUCCUCCAAACGAGACACAGACAUUGAUUCCACAUUGUGCAGAGGAGGUUAAUAACAAAUAGCUGUUUAAGUGUAAAGGAAACAAUACUUCUGUAAGGGUUUUGCCCUGAAAACCCCAGCCAGAGUGCUCUAAGCUGGUGUGUGGAAUCUUUUCUACCUGUCAUACAGCUGUUAACCUGUAGCUUUCCAGCAUUUGGGAAAUCAUUUGUGGUGAUUAAGUGAAAUACUGUAUUUUCUUUUUCAUCACCUUUGGUGUGUCUUUUGUGUUUAAAAUAAUGGUUUUGGGCUUGCUUCUGGUUUUGAGCUGUGUGAUGUGAAGAGUGACAUCUCAGAGGUUUUGCUGAAAGACAAAGUAAUGAGAAUAUGAGUGACUUUCCAUUUUCCUUCCACUGGUGCUCUCCUAAUAUUUACUUUUCCUCACUUUCCAUCCCUAAUAUCAAUACAGAUAACAGGGAAGUGAGAAACAGGAAGAAAAAGAUCCUGAAAAAAGCCAAAAACCUCAAGAAAGCACUGUGAUUUUUUUUCCAUUGGAGAAGAAAAAAUCUCAAUUAAAAACAUCACAGAAAAAACAAAAGUUGAAGGUUGG